AACUUUGAGGAGCUCAUGUGAUUUACCGUUUCUUGGACUCGGUAGAUGUAUGUGCCGAGAGAGUAUUCUGCUUCCGUCAACAACUCAUGAUUCCCCCAGCUGUGGAGUGUUUGAUAUAUUGCUGCAGGAUUCAGUGUAAGGUUUUCCGGACAUUCGCUCUGAAUGGUCGCUGAAGAUUACAGCGACUAAAGCCUUGGCAGCGACUUUGGCAAAAUGUGUUGAAAGAUACAGUAUUCACUUACCAACAUGGGUUUAUAACUCGAGUCUGUACUUUACAAACCUACUGCUCAGUUUCUCUAACCUGGAUAUAAUCGAGCAGUAAUGGGAUACAAGGGAUACCUUGGAAAUCUUUUUGCCACGAAAAAUGUCCCGAUGCCCCUUCACGUCAUCUCCAUAUUUGUCAUCAUCAUCUCGACCAAGAGCCAAACGCUUUUAGAAGAUUGCAUUAUCAAGUUCUCGUCGUUGGACAAACAUCAGUGCAGAAGAUGAUAACAUUACAACGUGAGCAUUCGCUAUGGGAGAGCCGCAGGACCCAGAAUCGCAGUCGGAGGAGGAGGAAUGUGCAGUGACCUGCUCUUUUGUGCACUAUUGCAACCAAGGAUUUAUUUUACGCGGGUAGCCGACGAAGCCAAAGACCAUGUGAGAAGCAGGAGCUGCCUGGUUUCCUUGCCGUUUUUUGCACUUCUCCAAAAAGUUAUACGGAUUGAGCCUUCAUGUACCAUAUAGGAGCUAUAAAGUGACAAGCUAGAUAGUGAACCCACAGGCGCAGAUUUUCGGGUUACCCGCUUCUGACAGUUACCUUCUAUAAUAAUGCUUAAAUUCUUUUUUUUUUUUUUUUUUUUUUUUUUUUUAAGCCUGUACUUUAUUACCAUAGUGAGGUUAUGUAAACAAAUUUAUACAUCUUAUUUAUUUGGGAAUUUUCACACAACCACAUCGAAAAAUGUUCCCUUAGUAUUUUUCAGAUAAGUCGAAAUAAGAAUUUCAUACAGAAUGACUAAAUUACAUUCAUUCAAAAUUGAGGUUAACAGCCUGGAAAAAAAAGCA